UACAGAGGGUGCGAGCGUUAAUCGGAAUUACUGGGCGUAAAGCGUGCGUAGACGGCUAUCUAAGUCGGGUGUGAGAGCCCCGGGCUCAACCUGGGAAUUGCAUUCGAGACUGAAUAGCUAGGGUACGGUAGAGGGAAGUGGAAUUUCCGGUGUAGCGGUGAAAUGCGUAGAUAUCGGAAGGAACAUCAGUGGCGAAAGCGACUUCCUGGACCAGUACCGACGUUCAGGCACGAAAGCGUGGGGAGCAAACAGG
rnacentral:rRNA from 1 species